rnacentral:rRNA from 1 species
AUUGAACGCUGGCGGCAUGCUUUACACAUGCAAGUCGAACGGUAACAGGCCGCAAGGUGCUGACGAGUGGCGAACGGGUGAGUAAUGCAUCGGAACGUGCCCAGUCGUGGGGGAUAACGCAGCGAAAGCUGCGCUAAUAUCGCAUACGAUCUAUGGAUGAAAGCGGGGGACCGUAAGGCCUCGCGCGAUUGGAGCGGCCGGUGUCAGAUUAGGUAGUUGGUGGGGUAAAGGCUCACCAAGCCAACGAUCUGUAGCUGGUCUGGAGGGACGACCAGCCACACUGGGACUGAGACACGGCAGAGACUCCUACGGGAGGCAGCAGUGGGGAAUUUUGGACAAUGGGCGCAAGCCUGAUCCAGCAAUGCCGCGUGCAGGAAGAAGGCCUUCGGGUUGUAAACUGCUUUUGUACGGAACGAAACGGUCUGGGUUAAUACCCUGGGCUAAUGACGGUACCGUAAGAAUAAGCACCGGCUAACUACGUGCCAGCCGCCGCAGUAACAC